rnacentral:lncRNA from 1 species
ACUUUUGGUUGCCACGACCUGUCUAAAGAUUUCAAAAUUUUUAUAUUAAGUUCAUCAUUUUCAAAUGACUUACCUAGACCAAUGAGAUGAUUGACAAUGUUGGUGAAGCGUUUCUGAACAUCUGAAAUUGUUUCUCCUUGCUUCAUCCUGAACAUUUCGUACUCUUGGAUCAACGUGUUCUUUCUCGCCCUCUUAACAUCAUAUGUUCCUUCAUGAGUUACUCUGAGUACAUCCCAC